CCUCAUACCUGCAAUUCCGUAGCUGGGGAAGCAAAAAACAGAAAUUUGGUCUCUGGUAGUGGGUCCACUUCCACCCCAUUUCAGACUCUACAGACCAAGCUUGCCUGCAGCCUGUACCUCCAAAAUGUGGAGGUGGGGAGGUCUAAGAAAGAGGGGGAUCACUUGCAAAUAUAAGGAAAUCAGACGCACCCGGUGCUACAGAAAUGGGCCAGGAGAAAACUCAGCAUUUUGACUGGGAUUUUGUUCCAACCAAGCAACUCUCUUCUACUUUCGUUGUGUACGGUUGGCACCAGUAUUACUGAAACUCCAUACUACCA
rnacentral:lncRNA from 1 species